rnacentral:rRNA from 1 species
GACGAACGCUGGCGGCGUGCUUAACACAUGCAAGUCGAACGGAAAGGCCCUGCUUUUGUGGGGUGCUCGAGUGGCGAACGGGUGAGUAACACGUGAGUAACCUGCCCUUGACUUUGGGAUAACUUCAGGAAACUGGGGCUAAUACCGGAUAGGAGCUCCUGCUGCAUGGUGGGGGUUGGAAAGUUUCGGCGGUUGGGGAUGGACUCGCGGCUUAUCAGCUUGUUGGUGGGGUAGUGGCUUACCAAGGCUUUGACGGGUAGCCGGCCUGAGAGGGUGACCGGCCACAUUGGGACUGAGAUACGGCCUAGACUCCUACGGGAGGCAGCAGUGGGGAAUAUUGCACAAUGGGCGGAAGCCUGAUGCAGCAACGCCGCGUGCGGGAUGACGGCCUUCAGGUUGUAAACCGCUUUCGCCUGUGACGAAGCGUGAGUGACGGUAAUGGGUAAAGAAGCACCGGCUAACUACGUG